GACGUAGGGCGCGAGCGUUGUCCGGAUUUAUUGGGCGUAAAGUGCUCGUAGGCGGCUUGUCGCGUCGACUGUGAAAACUUGGGGCUCAACCCCAAGCCUGCAGUCGAUACGGGCAGGCUAGAGUUCGGUAGGGGAGACUGGAAUUCCUGGUGUAGCGGUGAAAUGCGCAGAUAUCAGGAGGAACACCGAUGGCGAAGGCAGGUCUCUGGGCCGAUACUGACGCUGAGGAGCGAAAGCGUGGGGAGCGAACAGG
rnacentral:rRNA from 1 species